AUGCUUGAACUCGGGAGGACCAGGUUUGCAGUGAGCCGAGAUCGCACCAUUGCACUCCAGCUUGGGCAACAAGAGCGACACUCCGUCUCAAAACAAAAAAAAAAGGGUGUUAAUUUUCAGGUCCUCGGAAGGAGGGCCACGGUUGCCGACCGCUGCGAGCCCAGAAAUGCCUGCAGGAUAAUGCAGCCGCCACGGCAGCCACCGAGGCUCCCAGCCGCCCCUCAGCCGGGGCGAGAGCGCGCGUCCUACAGAUCACCUUCAAGGGGGCGGGGAGAACGGCCCCGGGCGGGCCCACCUAGUGACAAGACGUCCGCCAAUAAAAACAUGAAUUCGCUCUCGGAUCCCGCCCACAAGCAGCCGCAGGUGCCCAAUCCCCGCCGCGCUAACAGUCUUCGCCCCGGGUGUCCAGAACAUGGGGGCUGGUCCAUUAGGGACUAAAUUAAGAAACCAAGGCCUGGAGUGUUCCAAUGACAUGGAUCUGCAGCUUGGAGCUAGCGUCUAUCAGCAUGUUAUUACCAAACACUGAGAUAAAUGAGGGGUGAAAACAAGUCCUUCUCCAAGUUGAAGAUGGUUUCUGCUCGUCAACUCUGCCGACAUGAGUCCUAGGAUGACUUUAUUUUUGCUGUUUUUUAAAUUUCUUAAUAUGUAAUUGCUUCUGGUGUUCCCUUACAUUUUUAUUUUAGUAUUCCCCUUUUUCCUUUUUUAUGAAAGAGAUUUGUAAUAACAUUAAAAUAAAUAUUUCAUUGAAUAUUAUUCA
rnacentral:lncRNA from 13 species